GGCAAUAUGGCCGAGUGGUCUAAGGCGCCAGAAUCAGGCUCUUCGAAGAGUAAUCUGGUCCGAAAGGGCGAGGGUUCGAAUCCCUCUGUUGUCA
rfam:Hypholoma sublateritium FD-334 SS-4 unplaced genomic scaffold scaffold_75, whole genome shotgun sequence.